rnacentral:rRNA from 1 species
GGCUUAGUAGCUAGCCCAUAAAUACAAUAGCAACAACUCAUCAUAAAUAACCCCUCAUCCAACAAAUAAAUAAAACAAACCAUUUUUCCUCCUUAGUAUAGGCGACAGAAAAGGAAAUAGGAGCAAUAAGAAAAGUACCGCAAGGGACUGCUGAAAGAGAAAUGAAAAAACCCAGUAAAGCCUAAAAAAGCAGAGACUAAACCUCGUACCUUUUGCAUCAUGAUUUAGCCAGUGUAAACCAAGCAAAGCGAACUUUAGCUUGCCACCCGAAACUAAGUGAGCUACUCCAAGACAGCCUACAUAAAGGGCCAACCCGUCUCUGUGGCAAAAGAGUGGGAAGAGCUUCGAGUAGCGGUGACAAACCUACCGAACUUAGUUAUAGCUGGUUGCCUAAGAACCGGAUAGAAGUUCAGCCCUUAAGUUUUCUCUAUUCCUGUUAGUACUACCCCUAUUGAUACAAGAAACUUAAGGAGUUAUUCAAAGGGGGUACAGCCCCUUUGAAAUAAGAUACAACUUUUUUAGGAGGAUAAAGAUCAUAGUAAUUAAAGUAAAACACCCUCGUAGGCCUAAAAGCAGCCACCUUUGCAGAAAGCGUUAAAGCUCUUAUAAAUUAAUAACUAUUAAUACUGAUCACCCACUCUUAUUCCCCUAUUUUCUACUAGGCCAUUUUAUGCACCACAUAAAAGUGUUCAUGCUAAUAUGAGUAAUAAGAGAGCUCAGCCUCUCUCCUAGCACAUGUGUAACUCGGAACGGACCUACCACCGAAAUUUAACGGCCCAUAUCCAAGAAGGUAUUGAGUAAAAAAUAAAAAACCAGAAAAAACCUCAAACAAAACCGUUAACCCUACACAGGCGCGCUCGCAAGGAAAGACUAAAACAAAGAGAAGGAACUCGGCAAAUGCUAAAGCCUCGCCUGUUUACCAAAAACAUCGCCUCUUGAUAUAUUAACUAUAAGAGGUCCCGCCUGCCCUGUGACAUUAGUUUAACGGCCGCGGUAUUUUGACCGUGCGAAGGUAGCGUAAUCACUUGUCUUUUAAAUGUAGACCUGUAUGAAUGGCAAAACGAGGGCUUAACUGUCUCCUCUAUUCAGUCAAUGAAAUUGAUCUCCCCGUGCAGAAGCGGGGCUAAAAACAUAAGACGAGAAGACCCUAUGAAGCUUUAGGCGAAAGACAGCUCACGUUAAAACCCCUAAGAAAAAAGACAAAACAUAAUGAUAUCUGUCCUGAUGCCUUUGGUUGGGGCGACCGCGGAGAAAUAAAAAUCCUCCACGUGGAAGAUAACACAGUUAUUUAAAUCAAGAGCUACAGCUCUAAUUAAUAGAACUUCUAACCUACAAGACCCGGCAAUGCCGAUUAACGAACCAAGUUACUCUAGGGAUAACAGCGCAAUCCCCUUUUAGAGCCCAUAUCGACAAGGGGGUUUACGACCUCGAUGUUGGAUCAGGACAUCCUAAUGGUGCAGCCGCUAUUAAGGGUUCGUUUGUUCAACGAUUAAAGUCCUACGUGAUCUGAGUUCAGACCGGAGUAAUCCAGGUCAGUUUCUAUCUAUGCCAUGUUCUUUUUUAGUACGAAAGGACCGAGAAGAAAAGGCCCAUUCUUAAGGUACGCCUUCUCCUUACCCGAUGAAGCCAACUCAAUCGGAUAAAAGGACAUACUCUUUUCGCAGAAGAUAACUGCUU